rnacentral:rRNA from 1 species
GAUGAACGCUAGCUACAGGCUUAACACAUCCAAGUCGAGGGGCAGCACAGUGUAGCAAUACACGGGUGGCGACCGGCGCACGGGUGCGUAACACGUAUCCAAUCUGCCCGUUACUCGGGGAUAGCCUUCUGAAAGGAAGAUUAAUACCCGAUGGCAUGUAUUUCCGGCAUCGGAGAUACAUUAAAGAUUUAUCGGUAACGGAUGAGGAUGCGUAUGGUUAGCUAGUUGGCGGGGUAACGGCCCACCAAGGUGACGAUCGUUAGGGGUUCUGAGAGGAAGUUCCCGCAAACUGGAACUGAGACGAGGUCCAGACUCCUACGGGAGGCAGCAGUGGGGAAUAUUGGUCAAUAGUCGAGAGACUGGACCAGCCAAGUAGCGUGAAGGAUGACUGCCCUAUGGGUUGUAAACUUCUUUUGUUUGGGAAUAAAGUCAGGUACGUGUACCUGUUUGUAUGUACCAUUCGAAUAAGCAUCGGCUAAUUCCGUGCCAGCCGCCGCAGUAAUAC